rnacentral:rRNA from 1 species
UACCCAACAGCUAGCCUACCCCUUAAAAUACAAACUUAAAAUAUAGAUAACCCCACAAACAUUCUUCUGAAAGAAACAAAACAUUUUCCCCCCUUAGUACGGGCGACAGAAAAGGAAGCUUAGAGCCAUAGAGAAAGUACCGCAAGGGAAAGCUGAAAAAGAAAUGAAACAGUCCAGUCAAGUAAAAAACAGCAAAGAUAAGAACUUGUACCUUUUGCAUCAUGACUUAGCCAGUCCCAGUUAGGCAAAAAGAAUUGUAGUCUAACACCCCGAAACUGUGUGAGCUACUUCAAGACAGCCUAUUAACAGGGCCUACCCGUAUCUGUGGCAAAAGAUUGGGAAGAACUUCAAGUAGAGGUGAUAAACCUACCGAACUCAGUUAUAGCUGGUUGCUUGGGAAAUGAAUAAAAGUUCAGCCUUCAGGCUUCUCUCUCUCUGAAAAAAAUAGUUAUUGUUCUAGCACUAAGAGAAACCAAAAGAGUUAUUCGAGGGAGGGACAGCUCCCACGAAAUAAGGUACAACUUUUUAAGUUGGUUAAAGAUCAUUUUACAAGUAAGGCCAAAGUGUCUUAGUGGGCUUAAGAGCAGCCAUCUUUUUAGAAAGCGUUAAAACUCAAAUAUUUUAAUUCUCCACCGAUCCUGAUAACUUUUUCUUACACCCCUAAUUUUACCAAGCCGCUUCAUGCCCCCAUGAAGGUGAUCCUGCUAAGAUGAGUAAUAAGAGAGACUUACAUCUCUCUCCCACCACAAGUGUAAAUCGAAAUGGACCAUCCACCGACAAUUAACGGCCCCAAUCAAAGAGGGCAUUGGGGACUCUAAAUAGAAUAACAAGAAACUUACCCAAUUUUUUACCGUUAACCCUACACUGGUGUGCCUAAAGGAAAGACUAAAAGGGAAAGAAGGAACUCGGCAAACACACUUAGCCUCGCCUGUUUACCAAAAACAUCGCCUCUUGCAAAAACAAAAAAUAAGAGGUCCCGCCUGCCCUGUGACUAAAAGUUUAACGGCCGCGGUAUUUUGACCGUGCGAAGGUAGCGCAAUCACUUGUCUUUUAAAUGAAGACCCGUAUGAAUGGCUUAACGAGGGCUUAACUGUCUCCUCUCCCCAGUCAAUGAAAUUGAUCUUCCCGUGCAGAAGCGGGGAUUAUAACAUAAGACGAGAAGACCCUAUGGAGCUUUAGACACUAAAAUAGCUCAAUCAAACCCUCCCUUUCAAACAAGGGCCCAACUUUAUGAUCCUAUCCUAAUGUCUUUGGUUGGGGCGACCACGGGGAACUACUUAACCCCCACGUAGGCUGGGAGAACAUCUCUUGAAUAUAAAAGACCCCUCUCUAAUAAUCAGAACCUUUGACUUUAAAUGAUCCGGCCAGACCGAUCAACGAACCCGAGUUACCCUAGGGAUAACAGCGCAAUUCCCCUUCUAGAGUCCCUAUCGACAAGGGGGUUUACGACCUCGAUGUUGGAUCAGGACAUCCUAAUGGUGCAGCAGCUAUUAAGGGUUCGUUUGUUCAACGAUUAACAGUCCUACGUGAUCUGAGUUCAGACCGGAGUAAUCCAGGUCAGUUUCUAUCUAUGAUCAACUUUUUCCUAGUACGAAAGGAUCGGAAAAUGAAGGCCUAUGCUAAGGGCACGCCUUAUUCUUGUCUGCUGAUCUCAAAUAAAGCAGCCAAAUGAAUGCAGCCAAGUGUUGAAAAAAAUGACCU